UUGAAAACUGUUCCGAACUUGACUAAGAUAAACACGAAAUUUAGAGGUCGUGUACGCGAGUUGCCUGUUAGGCAAUUUGUUGCCUUCGGGGAUUUUGGCAUCCAGGCUGUAGAAGCUGGCCGUUUAAAAGAUAGGGCCUUAAUAGUAGUACACGAUAUAAUUCAUAAAGAGAUGAAAGCGCUAAAGAAAAAGUUUUGGACUCGAGUUUUUACCAAUGUGCCCGCAUCUGCCCGCCCCAGCGAUGUUCGAAGGGGCAGAGGAAAAGGCUCUGUGGAUCACUGGUAUGCUCGAAUUCCUCCUUGUAAAGUUUUAUUUGAAUUUAAGGAUGUUCCUAUAGAAACGCUUAGAAAACUUUAUCGUCGUAUUGCUCCGCGCUUUGGCUUUAAAACAAAGCUAAUACGCAGAGAACCCCUCGUUAAAGAACAGAACUUAUCGAGACUACUGCCUAAAGUAAACCUUUUUAAGGAAGUAGCUGAGUUCCAACAUGUAGGAAAAAUAAUUUCCAUUAGAAAAGAAAUAGAUUUCACUAACAGGAUCUAGAAUU